GCCGUCCAGCCAGUAUGGUGGAUAGGACCCUCGGCUUGUAACCGAGUGGGUUCGGGUUCGAAUCCUGAGUAAGGCA
rnacentral:tRNA from 1 species